rnacentral:rRNA from 1 species
GACGAACGCUGGCGGCGUGCCUAAUACAUGCAAGUAGAACGCUGAAGAGAGGAGCUUGCUCUUCUUGGAUGAGUUGCGAACGGGUGAGUAACGCGUAGGUAACCUGCCUUGUAGCGGGGGAUAACUAUUGGAAACGAUAGCUAAUACCGCAUAACAAUGGAUGACACAUGGCAUUUAUUUGAAAGGGGCAAUUGCUCCACUACAAGAUGGACCUGCGUUGUAUUAGCUAGUAGGUGAGGUAAUGGCUCACCUAGGCGACGAUACAUAGCCGACCUGAGAGGGUGAUCGGCCACACUGGGACUGAGACACGGCACAGACGCCUACGGGAGGCAGCAGUAGGGAAUCUUCGGCAAUGGGGGCAACCCUGACCGAGCAACGCCGCGUGAGUGAAGAAGGUUUUCGGAUCGUAAAGCUCUGUUGUAAGUCAAGAACGGGUGUGAGAGUGGAAAGUUCACACUGUGACGGUAGCUUACCAGAAAGGGACGGCUAACUACGUG